rnacentral:rRNA from 1 species
AUUGGGCGUAAAGGGCUCGCAGGCGGUUUCUUAAGUCUGAUGUGAAAGCCCCCGGCUCAACCGGGGAGGGUCAUUGGAAACUGGGAAACUUGAGUGCAGAAGAGGAGAGUGGAAUUCCACGUGUAGCGGUGAAAUGCGUAGAGAUGUGGAGGAACACCAGUGGCGAAGGCGACUCUCUGGUCUGUAACUGACGCUGAGGAGCGAAAGCGUGGGGAGCGAACAGGAUUAGAUACCCUGGUAGUCCACGCCGUAAACGAUGAGUGCUAAGUGUUAGGGGGUUUCCGCCCCUUAGUGCUGCAGCUAACGCAUUAAGCACUCCGCCUGGGGAGUACGGUCGCAAGACUGAAACUCAAAGGAAUUGACGGGGGCCCGCACAAGCGGUGGAGCAUGUGGUUUAAUUCGAAGCAACGCGAAGAACCUUACCAGGUCUUGACAUCCUCUGACAACCCUAGAGAUAGGGCUUUCCCUUCGGGGACAGAGUGACAGGUGGUGCAUGGUGUCGUCAGCUCGGUCG